rnacentral:rRNA from 1 species
CAAGUCGAGCGAGAAAGGGGCUUCGGCCCCGAGUACAGCGGCGGACGGGUGAGAAAAUCGUAGGUAACCUGCCCUUCAGUGGAGGACAACGGUCCGAAAGGACCGCUAAUACUGCAUACGUUCCCCGGGACCCCGGUCCUGGGGAGGAAAGCCUCGCAAGGGGCGCUGGAGGAGGGGCCUGCGUCGCAUCAGCUAGUUGGUGGGGUAACGGCUCACCAAGGCGAAGACGCGUAGCUGGUCUGAGAGGAUGAUCAGCCACACUGGGACUGAGACACGGCCCAGACUCCUACGGGAGGCAGCAGUGGGGAAUAUUGGACAAUGGGCGCAAGCCUGAUCCAGCCACGCCGCGUGAGUGAUGAAGGCCUUCGGGUCGUAAAGCUCUGUGGGGAGGGACGAACGUCCCCGUGAAGAACGGGGGGUGACGGUACCUCCUUAGCAAGCACCGGCUAACUUCGUGCCAGCAGCCGCGGUAAUACGAAGGGUGCAAACGUUGCUCGGAAUCAUUGGGCGUAAAGCGCACGUAGGCGGCCUGUUAAGUCGGAUGUGAAAUCCCUCGGCUCAACCGAGGACGUGCAUCCGAAACUGGCGGGCUCGAGUACUGAAGAGGGUCGCGGAAUUCCCGGUGUAGAGGUGAAAUUCGUAGAUAUCGGGAG